ensembl:snRNA U6 U6 spliceosomal RNA
AUGCUCAAUUCAGAAGCACAUAUAUUAAAACUGGAAACAUACAGAGAAGAUUAGCAUGUCCCCUGCACAAGAAGACAUGCAAAUUCAUGAAGCAGCCUAUAUUUUU